rnacentral:lncRNA from 1 species
CACAGACCCAGCACAUGUCACAGACCCGUGCACACCUCACAGACCCAGCACAUGUCACAGACCCGUGCACACCUCACAGACCCAGCACAUGUCACAGACCCAUGCACACCUCACAGACCCGUGCACACCUCACAGACCUGCACACACCUCACAGACCCGUGCACACCUCACAGACCCAUGCACACCUCACAGACCCAGCACAUGUCACAGACCCAGCACACUUCAUAGGCACGUGCACACAUCAUAGGCACGUGCACACCUCACAGACCUGUGCACACCUCACAGACCCAGCACAUAUCACAGGCACGCGCACACCUCACAGACCCGUGCACACCUCACAGACCCAGCACACAUCACAGGCACGUGCACACCUCACAGACCCAUGCACACCUCACAGAUCCGUGCACACCUCACAGACCCAGCACAUGUCACAGACCCAGCACACUUCAUAGGCACGUGCACACAUCAUAGGCACGUGCACACCUCACAGACCUGUGCACACCUCACAGACCCAGCACAUAUCACAGGCACGCGCACACCUCACAGACCCGUGCACACCUCACAGACCCAGCACACCUCACAGACCCAUGCACACCUCACAGAUCCGUGCACACCUCACAGACCCAGCACACUUCACAGGCACGUGCACACCUCACAGACCCAUGCACAUCUCACAGAUCCGUGCACACCUCACAGACCCAGCACACUUCAUAGGCACAUGCACACCUCACAGACCCAUGCACACCUCACAGACCCAGCACACGUCACAGGCACGUGCACACCUCACAGACCCAGCGCACAUCACAGGCACGUGCACUCACUCAUAUCUCACAUCAUCAUCUUACAUGACAGCUUCAAUCACAGGCCGCCCUGCAACGUCAAACAAGCAUGAAGGCUGCUCCCAGGGUUUCGUUUGUUCUAUUAAUGCUGAAAGUGGUUAACUUUCAGAAAUUCACUGCACUGUCUUCUUUUCAUUUCCCCAUAGAUUGGGGAAACAUUCAGCACAUACUGAGUUUGGAAACCAUU